CGACCAACGUAUAAAUAAUUUUCUCGGCCCACUUCCACACACCGUGGUGCAGCGCAAAGGCUAUGUUAACCACGGCGUUUACGUCGGCAUCCUGUAACGAUGUAGCGAGACACUUCAUGAAACGCGCUUUUUUCGCGGACUAAUGGAUACACCGGAGUAAUUGCAAAUGGUAUACGACUGAAGGGGAGAAAGAAGAAAUGAUAAAAGUGUAAAUGGCUGGCGACAUUUUAUAAGCAGAAAUAGUCUUAUGAACUGUGAUUGAGAUGAAGUGAUUGGAAUGAAAUAAUAAUUGCAUACUAAUUACAUACAUAUAAACAAGUAAAAAAAUGUUGAAGAAUCAG